AUGAAAAACACUAAAAAGAGUUUCACUUGGUUCACAAUAAAAGAAUUACAAACUAUAGUAACACAUGAUUACACAAAAAUAUCACUGCUCAACCAAACAACAUCAAGGUGCACAUACAGUAAAAUGGAAAACAACAUCAAAGUCCAGAAAUCAGAAAAUAAUAAUAGAUAUCAGAUGAAAAAAACCCAAACAAAAAUUUGUUCAAGGCCUGUUACCAAAAAAUAG